AUGGCGAUGGUGCUGGAUGCUUUUGCAUCCUACGUGCAUAACAUGCUGACGGAGAUGGCGAGUGAAGAGCUGCAAAUGCUACUUGGAGUCGGAGACGAGAUCGACAAGAUGGACAUUAAGCUUAGGGACCUCAAGAACUUCCUCACCGAUGUUGAUAAGAGAAACAUCACCGACAAGAGUGUGCAAGAGAUGGUGGCCCAGCUCAAGCGCGCCUUGUACGAAGCUGCUGACAUCCUCGACCUCUGCAAGCUCAAGGCCAUCGAGCGUGGUCCGUCCACUGUUGAUGUUGGGUGCUUUAACCCCUUGCUCUUUUGCAUGCGGAAUCCCUUCCAUGCCCACGACAUUGGCACCCGCAUCAAGGCGCUCAACAAGAGGCUCGACACCAUCAAGGAGCGAACCGCUGCUUUUAGCUUCAUCAAUCUUGGUUCCUAUGAGGAUCGUGGUUGCAAGGUCCACGGCUUUCAUUCUAGGAAUACCAGCCGUGAGACAGCAGGGGAGCUCAACCGGUUGGGUAUAGUCGGAGAGAACAUCGAAGAAGACACAAGAGAGCUGGUCGAGAUCAUGCUCACUGAAAAGGAGGGCAACACAAACAUUAUGGUGGUCGCCAUUGUUGGUGUUGGCGGAAUUGGUAAGACCACUCUUGCCCAGAAGAUCUUCAAUGACAAAACCAUCAAGGCCGAGUUCGACAAGACCAUAUGGCUGAGCAUCAACCAGGACUUCGACAAGGUUGAAUUGCUCAGGACAAUCAUCACACUCGCUGGGGGAGUACACGGUGGUGAAAAGGCUGUGGCUGUGCUUCAGCCAAUCCUUACCACUACCUUGACAGAGAAGAAGCUAUUCCUGGUGCUAGAUGAUAUGUGGAGCCAUAGAGCAUGGGGUGAUGUGCUUGAAACACCCUUGGCUAAUACUGUGGCUCAAGGUAGCCGAGUCCUUGUCACUACAAGAGCUGAAAGUGUAGCUAAAGGAAUGAAAGCUGUGCUUCACCACCAUGUGAAAAAAUUAGAAGAGGAGGAUGCCUGGUCCUUGCUCAAGAAACAGAUAGUCUCAAGUGAGACAGAUGAACGUGAAGUCGAUAUGCUCAAAAAAAUUGGAUUGCAAAUUGUAGCAAAAUGUGAUGGUUUGCCUCUUGCUAUCAAAGUCAUGGGAGGACUCCUGUGUCAGAAAGACACAAAUGAUUGUGCGUGGAAGAUGGUUCUAGAUGACUCUGUAUGGUCGGUAUCUGAAAUGCCCGAAGAGCUAAACCAUGCAGUGUAUUUAAGCUAUGAAGAUUUGCAUUCUUGCAUCAAACAGUGUUUUCUAUACUACUCCCUUCUCCCUAAAACUGCAUUGUUCUAUAGUGAAAACAUCAUUGGCAUGUGGAUUAGUGAAGGAUUUGUUCAUGGAACCUCAGAAGACUUAGAAGAACUAGGGAAAAAGUACUAUAAGGAGUUGAUACUGAGGAACCUUAUAGAGCCAGAUACACAGUACGUUAAUCGGUCUGUCUGCAACAUGCAUGAUGUUGUACGAUCAUUUGCUCAAUUUGUGGCGAGAGAUGAGGCACUAGCAGCUGGAGAUACUAAUGUUGUUAACAAGUUUAGGGAAGAUAAGUUUCUUCGGUUAUCUAUAGAAAGCAAAUCAUCGGAAGAUGGGUUGGACUGGAGCUCUAUAGAAGCACAAAAUACAUUGAGAACACUUAUAUCAGUUGGCCACAUAAAUAUGAAGCCCGGUGAUUCUUUGGUAAAUUUUCCAUGUCUGCGGACUCUGCAUAUAGAUUCUGCACAUGCUGCGUUGGUUGAAUCAUUGCAUGAACUCAAGCACCUGAGGUACUUGUCCUUAGAAAAAACAGAUAUAUCUAGUCUGCCAGAUAGCAUUGGGAAGAUGAAGUUCUUACAGUACAUUAGCCUUAGAGGAUGCAGACAAUUUGUUAAACUUGCACAUAGCAUUUUGAAGUUAGGGCAGCUAAGAUAUCUUAACUUCAUUGAAACAAGUAUAAAUGGCAUACCUAGAGGAUUUUCUGCUCUAACAAAUUUGAGGGUAUUACGUGGGUUUCCAGCCAGGAUGGAUGGUGAUUGGUGCAGUUUGGAAGAGUUGGGUCCUCUUUCUCGGCUCAAGGAUCUUGGACUCGACGGAUUGGAGAAUGUAAUUGCUUCCUCGUCCACAUCAAAGGCAAAGCUUUGUGAGAAGUUGUAUCUUGCCAGACUAUACUUAACUUGUGGUAGUAGAUUGGAAGACGAUGGGCUUAUUGAAGAGGAGGUUAUUGUCUCCGGGGAAGAGCAACAACGAAUCAAGAAGGUGUUUGAUGAGCUCUGCCCUCCGCCCAGGUUAGAAUAUCUUUAUAUCAAAGGAUAUUUUGGCGAACGCCCCCCUGGAUGGCUGAUGUCGUCAUCCUUUGUGCCCCUCGAGAGCUUGAGAAUUAUAUUCAUCGAUGACCUGGCUUGGUGCACACAGCUUCCUGAUGGCUUGUGUCAUCUCCCUUAUUUGGAGUUCUUUCAGAUCGAUCGUGCUCCAGCCAUCAAGCGUGUUGGAUCUGAAUUCAUGCUGUCCUACCAUCACCACAGUCCUCACCCUUCAUUUCAGAGAUUGCGUGAGAUGAAUUUAAUAGGAAUGGUGCAAUGGGAGGAAUGGGAGUGGGAGGAGCAUGUGCAAGCCUUUCCGGUCUUACGGGAACUUAUGCUAAAGCACUGCAAAUUGAAGUGUCUUCCUCCUGGACUUGCUUCCCAGGCAAAGGCUUUGGAAGAAUUAUCCAUACAAAAUGUCCAGGGUCUUGUCUCUCUGGAGAACUUUGCGUCGCUGGUCGAGCUGGAAGUUAUUGUAAACGUUGAUCUGGAGAGGGUCACCAACCUUCCCAGACUGCAGAAGCUUACCAUCAGAGCCUGCCCAAAGCUGAAGGUGCUAGAGGGUGUUCCUGUACUCCAGAGGCUCAAGCUGGUUGAUCUAGAGAUGGAGACAAUCCCAGAAUACAUGGGAGGUAUAAACCCAAGGCAUUUGGAGCUAUACUGCAGCCUAGCACUGCUCGCUUCCAUAGCUGCAGGAAAAUCUGGCCCUGAGUGGGACAAGUUCAGACAUGUUAAGCAUGUCAAAGCGUACUCAAAUGAAGGAGAUAAUCCAAGGAAAUGGUAUGUCUUGUACACAGCUACCCCCUACAACUUGGAGACAAAUGUCAGCCGCUCUUUCCUGUCUAGAGGAAGCUUAUCUUCUUUUGAGGAUGCACAGAGAUUUGAGUCCGUCUUCAAAAUUACGAAGAAAACCUUUAGCUACAUAUGCAGCUUGGUGUACGUGCCAUCACUGAAAGAUAUGAACAGCUAUACCUUUGUUGAUGGGAGGGCACUGUGUUUAGAAGAUCGAGUUGCUAUUGCUCUGAGAAGGUUGUACUCUACCGAGCCGCCGGAGACCUUAGAAUCCUCUGUUGGUGUCAAUGAGUCAAUCAUCUUCUUGGUAACUGAGAGUUUCGUUGAUGCUAUAUGCGAGCAAGCAAGCCACCACUUGCGCUGGCCAGACUCCAGUGAAAUGGAUAAGAUCAAAUCAAUGUUUGACAAGAUCCACAAUAUGCAGAACUGCUGCGGCGUCAUCUAUACAACUCACAUCCCACUUGGACCAAACUGGAGCCAUGAGAAGUAUGAUAGCAUUCUAAUGCAAGUGGUCGUUGAUCCAAAGAUGAGGUUCUUGAACAUUUGGUCUGAAUUGGCAGAUAGCAUGACCCAGUUGAGCAUUUUGCACGAGUCUGGACUCUUUGAGGAGUGUGAGAAAGGUGCUUGCCUGAAUGGAAGCAAGCUGAAGACAGCGUUAGAUGGAUCAGAAGUUGGGGAAUACAUAAUUGGUGAUGCAGGAUACCCGCUUCUCCCGUGGCUACUCACACCUUACCAGGAAGUGCUCUCAGAUUCCAUGACGGAGUUCAAUAGGAGACACUCCGCAGCCACAACCUGUGCGCUGAAGGCGCUAGCAAGGUUCAAAGACACAUGGAGGUACCUGCCAUGGUGGCCAGUUGAUCUGAAAACUCUACCUAAGAUGAUCUGCGCCUGCUUGAUGUUGCAUAACAUAGUCAUAGAUAUGGAGGAUGAUGCAGCCAUGCCGAGCGUUAAGGAGGGGAAUUACUGCGAGGAAGUGCGCCAGUUAGAAAACGAGGAUGCUGUCAGGGUGAGGGAUAUGCUGUCGCAACACUUCUUGACCAGCAGGUCAUCUGAAUCGGGAGUUGGCCCAGUGUACACAGAGGAGGAUCAUGAAGUAGCCGCAUCAGGCUCAGGGGAUGAAGACAAGGAACAAGAAGCAGAGACAAGAACAUCAGAGGAAGAGAACAUGAACUAA
rnacentral:rRNA from 1 species